rnacentral:rRNA from 1 species
GACUAACGUUGGCGGCGUGCCUAAUACAUGCAAGUCGAGCGGGGUGGGGGCAACUCCACCUAGCGGCGAACGGGUGAGUAACACGUGGAUGAUCUACCUCUAGGAUUGGGACAACCAGUCGAAAGAUUGGCUAAUACCGAAUGUGACCACGCCUCGUAUCACCGAGGUGAGGUAAAAGUGGGGGACCGCAAGGCCUCACGCCUGGAAAUGAGUCCGCGCCUGAUUAGCUAGUUGGCGGGGUAACGGCCCACCAAGGCGACGAUCAGUAGCCGGCCUGAGAGGGUGAACGGCCACACUGGGACUGAGACACGGCCCAGACUCCUACGGGAGGCAGCAGUAGGGAAUUUUCCACAAUGGGCGAAAGCCUGAUGGAGCGACGCCGCGUGAGGGAUGAAGGUCUUCGGAUUGUAAACCUCUUUGGAGCGGAAAGAACGGCUUUGGUGUUAACAGCGCCAGAGCGUGACGGUACCGCUAGAACAAGACACGGCUAACUCUGUGCCAGCAGCCGCGGUAA